rnacentral:lncRNA from 1 species
AGAGAAAGCAUCAGCAGGUCAACCAUGACGCAGAAGCAUCCACGAGCUCGUACAUCAGCUCACACCACAGCAGAAACAACCAUGUCGUCAUCAGUCCAGCAUUAGAGAGACGACGACGAUGCAAUGCACAAGAGCUAGCUGGAGAGCACACCAGCAUUUCCGGACACGAUUCCAGCCGGAGCACCGCACACUCGCCCAGAUCCGGACACUUCUCAACUACUCGCUUGCAAGAAUGAUCAUAAUCUCUCCUUACAUUGCAAGAGAAGGUUACAAGACAGCUACUAGCACACUACUAGCGGUAGGAUUACAACUAGAGGAGGUGGGGGGCAAGAACAGCAAGGAACGGGACGGGGGAGGAACAGAGCUGCUACUAGCCUAGCACGGACACGGAUUAUUAACUCGCUUUGUUCGAACUGACGAACUACUACUUA